GACAGGUGAUGCAAGCGUUAUCCGGAUUGAUUGGGCGUAAAGCGUCUGUAGGUGGCUUGGUAAGUCUGCUGUCAAAGCCCCGGGCUUCACCCUGGACAGGCAGUGGAAACUACCGAGCUUGAGUACGGUAGGGGCAGAGGGAAUUCCCGGUGGAGCAGUGAAAUGCGUAGAGAUCGGGAAGAACGCCCAUAGCGAAGGCACUCUGCUGGGCCGACACUGACACUCAGAGACGAAAGCUAGGGGAGCGAAUGGG
rnacentral:rRNA from 1 species